AGGACGAACGCUGGCGGCGUGCUUAACACAUGCAAGUCGAGCGGAAAGGCCCUUCGGGGUACUCGAGCGGCGAACGGGUGAGUAACACGUGAGCAACCUGCACUUAGCUCCGGGAUAGCUCCGGGAAACCGGAAUUAAUACCGGAUACGACCACAGCCGACAUCUGCUGUGGUGGAAAGGAUUCCGGCUAAGGAUGGGCUCGCGGCCUAUCAGCUAGUUGGUGGAGUAACGGCCCACCAAGGCGACGACGGGUA
rnacentral:rRNA from 1 species